UACGUAGGUGGCAAGCGUUGUCCGGAAUUAUUGGGCGUAAAGCGCGCGCAGGUGGUUUAAUAAGUCUGAUGUGAAAGCCCACGGCUCAACCGUGGAGGGUCAUUGGAAACUGUUAAACUUGAGUGCAGGAGAGAAAAGUGGAAUUCCUAGUGUAGCGGUGAAAUGCGUAGAGAUUAGGAGGAACACCAGUGGCGAAGGCGGCUUUUUGGCCUGUAACUGACACUGAGGCGCGAAAGCGUGGGGAGCAAACAGGAUUAGAUACC
rnacentral:rRNA from 1 species